UACGUAGGGUGCAAGCGUUGUCCGGAAUUAUUGGGCGUAAAGAGCUCGUAGGCGGUUUGUCGCGUCUGCUGUGAAAUCCCGAGGCUCAACUGUGGGCUUGCAGCUGAUACGGGCAGGCUUGAGUUCGGUAGGGGAGACUGGAAUUCCUGGUGUAGCGGUGAAAUGCGCAGAUAUCAGGAGGAACACCGGUGGCGAAGGCGGGUCUCUGGGCAGUAACUGACGUGAGGAGCGAAAGCGUGGGGAGCGAACAGG
rnacentral:rRNA from 1 species